rnacentral:tRNA from 1 species
GCCCCUAUAGCUCAGCUGGAUAGAGCAGCGGACUUCUAAUCCGCCGGUCGCAAGUUCGAAUCUUGCUGGGGGCG